UAUGGGGGAAUUGGCUCCCCGGGUGCACAUGUUUUGAGAGGAUGGGCUGUUUGAGAGGAACGGCUCGUCGGCGGGUUUAGGUGACGCCAUGCACUAAUUUCCACGUGAUGUGAUUAUUUGAAGGUGAUAUUGUUUGUGGGUGCUGAUGUAAUGUCAUAUGAUUGACUGUUGUGUGUUCAUUCAGUAUAUUAUGGUGCAUUUUGCUUGACUGUAUGUGGUGUGUAUUAUUUAUUAUUAUUCACUGAGUUGCAAAACUCACCCCUCCCCAACAAACCUUCCAGGUACUAGGAAGCAGCUGAUUCGGCUGAAGCUCUGCAAUCUUCUCUGCAGAGUUACAAAUGUAAACUUUAUAUUCAUGUUAUUUAAUUUUGGAUGUAUAAAUUAUUCUGUUAUCAGAUUAUUUUUGGACUCCGCAUUAUAGGGUUGUGUAUUAAUAUUGGACUUAUUGUUAGCACUACACUAUAAAUUAAAUGUUAGGUAAUUAGCUGCAGGUGAACCAGUAA